rnacentral:ribozyme from 1 species
GAAAGAAAUGGAAGGAGAAAAAAAGACCAAAUAACGUGUGAUGACGAUCUUGUGUCGAUUUUCUCUCUUUCUUUCCCGCUGCUUUUUUCUUUCC